rnacentral:lncRNA from 1 species
ACUAUUGCUUUUAGGGUAAUUUGAUUUUUUUAACUCCAGAAAAAUAAAAUGUACCUUUUGCAGAAAAUGAUUAAUGUGUAUUAACAGAGAUAUUUCCCUUAUCACAUUAACCCUCUGUGCUUCAAGGAGAGUCAAGAGAGCUGCUCAAAUUUUGUUAUUUCUGGAAGUUUUCUUACCGUAAAGCUUUCCCACUUAGUAAUUUUUAAAAAGUGUUUAUAGUUUCAGGUAUGCCUCUCCACCACAUAAUUUGCAUGUACUUAAUCAGGAUCUUACUUUUAUUAUUAAAAAAAUCCAAUCCCUAUGAAUGUCAGUGUUUAUGAGCUCUCCUUCUAAUAGCCAGAGAGGUCUGUCUCAUUCAGUCUAGCUCUCUGCAAAAUUUAGCGAGUGGCUGUUCAUCAGGCAGUAAAUGUCAGGGUGACAAAUUGCCAAAUCCAGGGCAGCUUCUCCUCCCAGCAGUGAGCACUUUUCAGAUCAUUUUGCUUUUAAGUGUUUUUCGCCUUGUUUCUAAUGGAAGAGAGAGAAGGGGGAGGGGGUAACGAUAGUAAUGCACUUUGUUCAGUCACUUAGUUCUAAGUCAAUAGUUUUCCCUAAUGCAAAGAGAUGUUAUUCCCUUUAUAGCUCCAGGUCUGGUUAGAUUUCUGAAAGGUCAGGGAGCACAUCAAGCACAUCAAGGAAUCAUGCCCCAUUUUAAAGGGGUUGCUUGUGAGAAGAAAGAGCCACAGGCAGAAGAUGGAACUUAGUGGGACAUGAGUAUUUGGGGAAUGACCAGUGAAAUAGGAGCCUAGGAAACAGAUAGAGCACAAUUGUAAGAGAUCUGGGUAAGUGCACAAUCAUGAAAAGAAAAUGGACAAAGAAAGUUUCAAAAUGGAGCUUUUUAAAAGCUUCAAUUAUUGACAUUCAGUUAUCAACAGUGAUAUAAAGAAGUUUUUAAAAUGUAUAUGGCUUUUCCUAGUGUUCCCAAGUCAUAUUGUGGAGAUGGCUUGGUAUCCUUCUUCAUUCUUGGCUCUUAAAACCUGAUUCUGGCUGGGCAUGGUGGCUCAUGCCUGUAAUCCCGGCACUUUGGGAGACCAAGGUGGGCAAAUCACCUGAGGUCAGGAGUUUGAGACCAGGUUGGCCAACACAAUGAAACCCCAUCUCUACUAAAAGUACAAAAAUUAGCCGAGUGUGGUGGUAUUCACCUGUAGUCCCAGCUGCUUGGGAGGCUGAGGCAGGAGACUCACUUGAACCUGGGAGGCAGAGGUUGCAGUGAGCUGAGAUCAUGUCAUUGCACUCCAGCCUGGGCAACAAGAGCUAAACUUUGUCUCAAAACAAACAAACAAAAAACAACCCCCAAAAACUUGAUUCUACUUGACUUCAGCGUGGCCCUUCCUGCCUCUUAGAAAGUCAAUCAAUACUGUUUUCUUCAAGCUGCACAAGGUCCCUAUCCUCAUCUUUACUCCUGAAACUCUUGGCUUAAGAUUUGGUCUUGCAUUAGGAAUUGAAGUAGCUGGUAUCUUAACCUAAGCCAAUGUAAUAAUAAUGUUCUCCCUACUGACUCCCAAAUCACAUUUUAAAACUUCAUUUAAAAAAUCUUCCCUUGAGACAUACAAGUAGCCAACAAACAUAUGAAGAAAUGUUUCACAUUACUAAUCAUCAGAGAAACGCAAAUAAAACCACAAUGAGAUAUCAUCUCACAUCAGUCAGAAUGGCUGUUUUUACAAAGUAAAAAAGCGACAGAUGCUGGUGGGGCUGUGGAGAAAAGGAAAUGCUUAUAUGCUGUCAAUGGGAAUGUAAAUUAGUUCAGCUGCUGUGGAAAGUAGUUUGGGAAUUUCUCAGAGAAACCUAAAACAGAACUACCAUUUGACCCAGCAAUCUCAUUACUCGGUGUAUAUCCAAAAGGAAACAAAUUUUCCUACCAAAAAGAUACAUUUACUUGUAUGUUUAUUGCAACACUAUUCACAACAGCAAAGACAGAAUCAACCUAGGUGCCCAUCAACUGUGGAUUGGAUAAAGAAAAUGUGGUAUAUAUAAACCAUGGAAUGCUAUGCAGCCAUAAAAAAGAAUGAA